GACGAACGCUUGCGGCGUGCUUAACACAUGCAAGUGGAGCGGAAAGGCCCUGCUUUUGUGGGGUGCUCGAGUGGCGAACGGGUGAGUAACACGUGAGUAACCUGCCCUUGACUUUGGGAUAACUUCAGGAAACUGGGGCUAAUACCGGAUAGGAGCUCCUGCUGCAUGGUGGGGGUUGGAAAGUUUCGGCGGUUGGGGAUGGACUCGCGGCUUAUCAGCUUGUUGGUGGGGUAGUGGCUUACCAAGGCUUUGACGGGUAGCCGGCCUGAGAGGGUGACCGGCCACAUUGGGACUGAGAUACGGCCCAGACUCCUACGGGAGGCAGCAGUGGGGAAUAUUGCACAAUGGGCGGAAGCCUGAUGCAGCAACGCCGCGUGCGGGAUGACGGCCUUCGGGUUGUAAACCGCUUUCGCCUGUGACGAAGCGUGAGUGACGGUAAUGGGUAAAGAAGCACCGGCUAACUACGUGCCAGCAGCCGCGGUGAUACGUAGGGUGCGAGCGUUGUCCGGAUUUAUUGGGCGUAAAGGGCUCGUAGGUGGUUGAUCGCGUCGGAAGUGUAAUCUUGGGGCUUAACCCUGAGCGUGCUUUCGAUACGGGUUGACUUGAGGAAGGUAGGGGAGAAUGGAAUUCCUGGUGGAGCGGUGGAAUGCGCAGAUAUCAGGAGGAACACCAGUGGCGAAGGCGGUUCUCUGGGCCUUUCCUGACGCUGAGGAGCGAAAGCGUGGGGAGCGAACAGGCUUAGAUACCCUGGUAGUCCACGCUGUAAACGGUGGGUACUAGGUGUGGGGUCCAUUCCACGGGUUCCGUGCCGUAGCUAACGCUUUAAGUACCCCGCCUGGGGAGUACGGCCGCAAGGCUAAAACUCAAAGGAAUUGACGGGGCCCCGCACAAGCGGCGGAGCAUGCGGAUUAAUUCGAUGCAACGCGUAGAACCUUACCUGGGUUUGACAUGGAUCGGGAGUGCUCAGAGAUGGGUGUGCCUCUUUUGGGGUCGGUUCACAGGUGGUGCAUGCCUGUCGUCAGCUCGUGUCGUGAGAUGUUGGGUUAAGUCCCGCAACGAGCGCAACCCUUGUUCACUGUUGCCAGCACGUUAUGGUGGGGACUCAGUGGAGACCGCCGGGGUCAACUCGGAGGAAGGUGGGGAUGACGUCAAGUCAUCAUGCCCCUUAUGUCCAGGGCUUCACGCAUGCUACAAUGGCUGGUACAGAGAGUGGCGAGCCUGUGAGGGUGAGCGAAUCUCGGAAAGCCGGUCUCAGUUCGGAUUGGGUCUGCAACUCGACCUCAUGAAGUCGGAGUCGCUAGUAAUCGCAGAUCAGCAACGCUGCGGUGAAUACGUUCCCGGGGCU
rnacentral:rRNA from 1 species